GAUGAACGCUGGCGGCGUGCCUAACACAUGCAAGUCGAACGAAGCGCCUUUUGAGAUUCUUCGGAUGAUUGAUUGGUGACUGAGUGGCGGACGGGUGAGUAACGCGUGGGUAACCUGCCCUGUACAGGGGGAUAACAGCUGGAAACGGCUGCUAAUACCGCAUAAGCGCACGAGGAGACAUCUCCUUGUGUGAAAAACUCCGGUGGUACAGGAUGGGCCCGCGUCUGAUUAGCUGGUUGGCAGGGUAACGGCCUACCAAGGCAACGAUCAGUAGCCGGUCUGAGAGGAUGAACGGCCACAUUGGAACUGAGACACGGUCCAAACUCCUACGGGAGGCAGCAGUGGGGAAUAUUGCACAAUGGGGGAAACCCUGAUGCAGCAACGCCGCGUGAGUGAAGAAGUAUUUCGGUAUGUAAAGCUCUAUCAGCAGGGAAGAUAAUGACGGUACCUGACUAAGAAGCUCCGGCUAAAUACGUGCCAGCAGCCGCAGUAAGAC
rnacentral:rRNA from 1 species